rnacentral:snRNA from 1 species
GGGUCUGCUGAGUGAAAAGGAAACACUAGGAGGAUGUCCCCUUCCUCCCUCACCACUCCAUGUGCAUCCCUCCCGAAGGUGUGUGCUCAGUUGAAGAGGGCAGUCUUCCCCAAAUAUACACAUUAUGUAGUUUGUAUAUAAUGCACCAUUUGCAAACAGUAUUGCGACUUUGAAUUCUAGAAAUGAUAAAAGUAAUUUUGAUGAUGGCAGGAAGUAUCUCCAAAUGGUUUACAGGAAACCCAGAGGUUAUU